ensembl:lncRNA
ACAGAUCCCCUUCACAGACCAGGGACGUACAGGCCCUGGGAGAGCAGGAGUUAGAGAGGACCGUGCCUGCAACAGGCACUGCCUGCUACACCCUGCCACGGGUAGAGGGGCUGUGCUCCCACCCCACAGAGGCCCCAUCCUUCCCUUUCUCUCCCCAAGGCUGCUCCAGCAGGGAGUUUAGCUCCAUGGACACCUUUGAAGGUUAUGAGGGUGCAGAAGACAUGUAAAAGCUCGAGGGGCCUUUUCCAGUCUGAUGACAGUCACGAAACCUGUUCCUCCAAAUCCGCUUUCCUGGAGAGGGGAGAAAGAACGCAGGGAGAAAAAGAAGAACGCGAUGUGUGAGUGUGAGCGAGGAAAGACUAAGCGCCUCUGUGGGCCACCGCGUCUCUGACCUUCCUCGCGGAACUGCAGGACGACCGGCAGCACCGAGAAGGAGCGCUCUGGGGCGUCCACGGGCCGGCUGGCUCCUGCGGGGGCGACGGCUGGUUUCCAGGCGAGGGCGCUGCGCCCGAGGAACUCCGCCCCGGAGAGCUGACCUCCUUGCGGACGCCCCCGCUCCUCGGCUCCAGAGCGCCCGCAUUCCCGGGAGAGGCGGUGUGGGGGCCCGGGGCCUGCCCAGCUACGCAGAAAGCAGCCGGCGUCGCGGCGGUGGCAGAAAGGGGACGCCCAGGGCCACCUCCCGGGAGUCCGAGGGGUGCGCUGGAUGCUCGUCUAGCUCCGGCCCGCAGAGCCCACUCUUCCCCGCCCACCCGCCAGCGAAGGACCUCGCGGGACUGGGACCCCAGUGCGCCUGCGCGAGCGCGGCGGGCGGAGGCAGACGCUCGCGGAGGCCACGCCCCUGGGGCUCGGCCGAGCCUAGGAGGAGCCGGAGCUGGCUCGGGGCUGCUCCCACCCGCCAGCGCCGGGGCCCAGCCUCGCAGUGGUGCGCAAGCCACUUAGCACCUGACAGGUUAAUUCAAAGGGGGUAGUUCUAAGGUAACUGCUGAGAGAUUUACGUUUAGAUUUGUUAGUUUAAAAAUUAGUUUUCCAGUUGUUUGUUUAUUUUUUUGAGACAGUCUCUACCUGUCGCCCAGGCUGGAGUGCAGUGGCAUGAUCUUGGUUCACUGCAACCUCCUCCUCACAUGUUCACGCAAUUCUCCUGCCUCAGCCUCCCGAGAAGCUGGGAUUACAGGCAUGUGCCACCACGCCCGGCUGAUUUUUGUAUUUUUAGUAGAGUCAGGGUUUCACCAUGUUGACCAGGCUGGUCUCGAACUACUGACCUCAGGUAAUCCGCCCGCCUCGGCUUCCCAAAGUGCUGUGAUUACAGGUGUGAGCCACCGGGGCCUGCCGAUUUUCAGAAAUUUUCGUCAGAGGUUUGCACCUAUUUAGUUUUUUAUUUAUUUUCAGACUUAACUUGUCAGGUUUCCUUUUUUUUUUUUUUUUUUAAGUUGCAAAUUAACUUUUCUGAUUUUAAUUUUUACUUAUGUAGUUUUAAGGUGUAUUUAUCUUCAGAAUUUCUUAGGUUUAACAUUGCUGUCAGUCAGGGUCCAAUGUCAGGGUCCAAUCACUGAAAUGGACUCCACACCAAUUAUUUUAACAGAAAUUUAAUGUAAGGAAUUGUUACCCAACUAUUGGAAAACUAAAAAGGCAAAAGAAAAAAAAAAGAAAAA